rnacentral:rRNA from 1 species
ACGUACACUCCUACGGGAGGCAGCAGUGGGGAAUUUUGGACAAUGGGCGAAAGCCUGAUCCAGCCAUGCCGCGUGCAGGAUGAAGGCCUUCGGGUUGUAAACUGCUUUUGUACGGAACGAAACGGCCUUUUCUAAUAAAGAGGGCUAAUGACGGUACCGUAAGAAUAAGCACCGGCUAACUACGUGCCAGCAGCCGCGGUAAUACGUAGGGUGCAAGCGUUAAUCGGAAUUACUGGGCGUAAAGCGUGCGCAGGCGGUUAUGUAAGACAGUUGUGAAAUCCCCGGGCUCAACCUGGGAACUGCAUCUGUGACUGCAUAGCUAGAGUACGGUAGAGGGGGAUGGAAUUCCGCGUGUAGCAGUGAAAUGCGUAGAUAUGCGGAGGAACACCGAUGGCGAAGGCAAUCCCCUGGACCUGUACUGACGCUCAUGCACGAAAGCGUGGGGAGCAAACAGGAUUAGAAACCCUUGUAGUCCCA